rnacentral:rRNA from 1 species
AGAGUUUGAUCAUGGCUCAGAUUGAACGCUGGCGGUAUGCUUAACACAUGCAAGUCGAACGGAAACGAUGGAAGCUUGCUUCCAGGCGUCGAGUGGCGGACGGGUGAGUAACGCGUAGGAAUCUGCCUGAUAGUGGGGGAUAGCCCGGAGAAAUUCGGAUUAAUACCGCAUAAUCUCUACGGAGUAAAGGAGGCCUCUAUUUAUAUGCUUUCGCUAUCAGAUGAGCCUGCGUAAGAUUAGCUAGUUGGUGAGGUAAAGGCUCACCAAGGCGACGAUCUUUAGCUGGUCUGAGAGGAUGAUCAGCCACACUGGGACUGAGACACGGCCCAGACUCCUACGGGAGGCAGCAGUGGGGAAUAUUGCACAAUGGGGGAAACCCUGAUGCAGCCAUGCCGCGUGUGUGAAGAAGGCCUUCGGGUUGUAAAGCACUUUCAGUUGUGAGGAAAGGUUAAGGGUUAAUAACCCUUAGCUGGACGUAGCAACAGAAGAGCACC